rnacentral:tRNA from 1 species
GGACCGGUGGCAGAGCUUGGUGAUUGCAGCGCUGAAGUGCGGGGUGCCGCGCACACGCGGCGGCGCGAAGGCGUGUGGGGCCACUGGUGUGCCAUGCCCCACCGGGGGUUCGAAUCCCCUCCGGUCCG